GACCCCAUCGUCUAGAGGUUAGGACUCCACUCUUUCAAGGUGGUAACACGGGUUCGAAUCCCGUUGGGGUCGCCA
rnacentral:tRNA from 1 species